AACACGGAGAGUUUGAUCCUGGCUCAGGAUGAACGCUGGCGGUCUGCUUAACACAUGCAAGUCGAACGGGCUCUUCGGAGCUAGUGGCGGACGGGUGAGUAACACGUGAGAAUCUGGCUCCCGGUCGGGGACAACAGAGGGAAACUUCUGCUAAUCCCGGAUGAGCCGAAAGGUAAAAGAUUUAUCGCCGGGAGAUGAGCUCGCGUCUGAUUAGCUAGUUGGUGAGGUAAAGGCUCACCAAGGCGACGAUCAGUAGCUGGUCUGAGAGGAUGAUCAGCCACACUGGGACUGAGACACGGCCCAGACUCCUACGGGAGGCAGCAGUGGGGAAUUUUCCGCAAUGGGCGCAAGCCUGACGGAGCAAGACCGCGUGGGGGAGGAAGGCUCUUGGGUUGUAAACCCCUUUUCUCAAGGAAGAACACAAUGACGGUACUUGAGGAAUAAGCCUCGGCUAACUCCGUGCCAGCAGCCGCGGUAAUACGGAGGAGGCAAGCGUUA
rnacentral:rRNA from 1 species